rnacentral:lncRNA from 1 species
AUCCGAAAUAACCAUUUUUUUAUUAUUGGGCAUGUGAAAAAAACUCACUAGGCCAAACUGAAAUAAAUAAAGGCCCGUUAUAAAAUUAAUGAGGAAAUACAAAGGUCCGGCCCAAAUCUUUGUCACCUCUCACUCUUCUCUGUUCGCCCUAGCCGCCAAAGAGAGGAUCUGGUUUUUUGACGACCAAAGAAGAAGAAAAUAAAUCUAAGAGGAAGGAGAUCACUGAGUAAAGAGAUUGGAGAAGAAGAAGACUAAGGAGGAAGAUGAUAAAAUGAUAAAGAAUAAGAAGAUGAGAUAAGAAUGAGAAAGGGUGUGUUCUCUCACACGACUAGAGAUGAAGAGUAAGGAGGAGAAAGAGAAAGAGAAGAAGAAUUACAAAAUGGAGAUUGGAGAAGAUGAGAAAAACAAACAAAGAAGAAGAAGUAGCGUAUAAUUAGAGUUUUGUGUUUUCUUCGGUUAACCGUUCGGUUAGACUAAACCGAACCGAACCGAAUCGCUAACCGAAUAAAAUUAUUAAUGUUACCGAUCGGUUUUCGCAUAAUAACCGAACCCGGACCAAAACCCAUAAAUCUCGGUUCGGUUCGGUUUGGUUUUUUUUCCCAGGACUAUUAAAAUCGUUCAACCUAUACUUUAUCCCAAGCUAUCUAAUUGUAAUGUUGUAAGUUUUGAUAUAACUAAUUUUAGAAAGCAUUAAUGAGGGCAUCGCUUAUGUAGGUAUAGCAAUACCUACAAACCUGAUUAUAACCUUUAUAAUUCCUUUAAUUUUUGAAGAUGUAAUGUUUGUGAAGAUAUUGGUUUAUAGGUUUUAAUUUACUUUAUAAGUCAGAAAAAAAUAUGUGUUAUUGAAUUUGUAAACUCCUUAAACAAAUUGUACUGUUAGAAGCUCUCCAAAAAAACUAUAUAGA